rnacentral:rRNA from 1 species
UACGGAGGGUGCAAGCGUUGCUCGGAAUUAUUGGGCGUAAAGGGUAGGUAGGUGGUCUCAUUUGUCUGAGGUGAAAGCCUUGAGCUUAACUCAAGAAGUGCCUUAGAAACGGUGAGACUAGAGUUCUGGAGAGGGUCGUGGAAUUCCCGGUGUAGCGGUGAAAUGCGUAGAGAUCGGGAGGAACACCAGAGGCGAAGGCGGCGACCUGGACAGAUACUGACACUCAACUACGAAAGCGUGGGGAGCAAACAGG